UUGCCGUGUGUCUUGUCAGAUAAACCCCCGCCUUCACGCACUUCGUUGCGGGAGGACAAGGAGACUGCUGGUCCUAGCCUAGUUCAGUACAGUAUAUGUUGUGAGCGUGCUUCAGAUCUCCGGAGAUAGCACGGUACACUGUGUCCAGCCCAGAGGUGAAAGCCAUCCAAAGCAGAGUAACUGUGCUUUGCGCCCAAGUUGAUACCUGUGGAGAGAAAAGGAGAGAGAGAGUGAGUAACACAAGGAGAAACAGAGGAAACCUGUACUUACAGUACGCUGUGUUCAGCCCAGAGGUGAGAGCCAUUCAAAGCAAACUAACUGUGCUAUUGUGCCUAAGUUGAUACCUGUGGAGAGAAAAGGAGAGAGAGUGGGUAACACGAGAACGAACUGUGUGAACCAGUACUUACCGUGAGCUGUAUUCAGCGAAGAGGAGGAAGAAGGAGGGCGCUACGGAUACCUAAGACUCAGGCCGGGGCCCGAGUCCCACGCCCCGGAUCCCCGUGGCCCCC
ensembl:lncRNA